GAUGAACGCUGGCGGCGUGCCUAAUACAUGCCAGUCGAGCGAACAGACGAGGAGCUUGCUCCUCUGACGUUAGCGGCGGACGGGGGAGUAACACGUGGAUAACCUACCUAUAAGACUGGGAUAACUUCGGGAAACCGGAGCUAAUACCGGAUAACAUGUUGAACCGCAUGGUUCAACAGUGAAAGACGGUCUUGCUGUCACUUAUAGAUGGAUCCGCGCCGCAUUAGCUAGUUGGUAAGGUAACGGCUUACCAAGGCAACGAUGCGUAGCCGACCUGAGAGGGUGAUCGGCCACACUGGAACUGAGACACGGUCCAGACUCCUACGGGAGGCAGCAGUAGGGAAUCUUCCGCAAUGGGCGAAAGCCUGACGGAGCAACGCCGCGUGAGUGAAGAAGGUCUUCGGAUCGUAAAACUCUGUUAUUAGGGAAGAACAAAUGUGUAAGUAACUAUGCACGUCUUGACGGUACCUAAUCAGAAAGCCACGGCUAACUACGUG
rnacentral:rRNA from 1 species